rnacentral:rRNA from 1 species
GACGAACGCUGGCGGCGUGCUUAACACAUGCAAGUCGAACGCUGAAGCUCAGCUUGCUGGGUGGAUGAGUGGCGAACGGGUGAGUAACACGUGAGUAACCUGCCCUCUUCUUUGGGAUAACGCCCGGAAACGGGUGCUAAUACUGGAUAUUCACUGAUUCUCGCAUGGGGGUUGGUGGAAAGGUUUUUUCUGGUGGGGGAUGGGCUCGCGGCCUAUCAGCUUGUUGGUGGGGUGAUGGCCUACCAAGGCUUUGACGGGUAGCCGGCCUGAGAGGGUGACCGGUCACAUUGGGACUGAGAUACGGCCCAGACUUCUACGGGAGGAAGCAGUGGGGAAUAUUGCACAAUGGGCGAAAGCCUGAUGCAGCGACGCCGAGUGAGGGAUGGAGGCCUUCGGGUUGUAAACCUCUUUCGCUCAUGGUCAAGCCGCAGCUUUGGGUUGUGGUGAGGGUAGUGGGUAAAGAAGCGCCGGCUAACUACGUG